UACGUAGGGUGCGAGCGUUGUCCGGAAUUAUUGGGCGUAAAGGGUUCGUAGGCGGUCUGUCGCGUCGGGAGUGAAAACUCAGGGCUUAACCCUGAGCCUGCUUCCGAUACGGGCAGACUAGAGGUAUGCAGGGGAGAACGGAAUUCCUGGUGUAGCGGUGAAAUGCGCAGAUAUCAGGAGGAACACCGGUGGCGAAGGCGGUUCUCUGGGCAUUACCUGACGCUGAGGAGCGAAAGUGUGGGGAGCGAACAGG
rnacentral:rRNA from 1 species